rnacentral:tRNA from 1 species
GGGGUUGUAGUUCAGUGGUAGAACCCUUGCCUAGCAUGUGAGAGACACUCGGUUCUAUCCUCAGCACCA